CAGCCGCCGCGGUAAUACCGGCGGCCCGAGUGGCGGUCACUAUUAUUGGGCUUAAAGCGUCCGUAGCCGGGUUGGGAAGUCCUCCGGGAAAUCUGGCCGCUUAACGGUCAGAAUGCCGGAGGAUACUCCCAGCCUUGGGAGCGGGAGAGGCCGAGGGUAUUCCCGGAGUAGGGGGGAAAUCCUAUAAUCCCGGGAGGACCACCUGUGGCGAAGGCGCUCGGCUGGAACGCGUCCGACGGGGAGGGACGAAGGCCAGGGGAGCAAACCGGAUUAGAUACCCGGGUAGUCCUGGCUGUAAACGAUGCGGACUUUGUGUCGGACAAGCUAUGAGCUUGUCCGGUGCCGGAGGGAAACCGUUAAGUCCGCCGCCUGGGGAGUACGGCCGCAAGGCUGAAACUUAAAGGAAUUGGCGGG
rnacentral:rRNA from 1 species